AUACGUAGGGGGCGAGCGUUGUCCGGAAUUACUGGGUGUAAAGGGAGCGUAGGCGGGAGUGCAAGUCAGAUGUGAAAUACAUGGGCUCAACCCAUGGGCUGCAUUUGAAACUGCAUUUCUUGAGUGAAGUAGAGGUAAGCGGAAUUCCUGGUGUAGCGGUGAAAUGCGUAGAGAUCAGGAGGAACACCGGUGGCGAAGGCGGCUUUCUGGGUGAUUACUGACGCUGAGGCUCGAAAGCGUGGGUAGCAAGCAGGAUUAGAUACCCUGGUAGUCAACGCUGUAAACGAUGAUUACUAGGUGUGGGGGGACUGACCCCUUCCGUGCCGCAGUUAACACAAUAAGUAAUCCACCUGGGGAGUACGGCCGCAAGGUUGAUACUCAAAGGAAUUGACGGGG
rnacentral:rRNA from 1 species